GACGAACGCUGGCGGCGUGCUUAACACAUGCAAGUCGAACGGAAAGGCCCUGCUUUUGUUGGGUGCUCGAGUGGCGAACGGGUGAGUAACACGUGAGUAACCUGCCCUUGACUUUGGGAUAACUUCAGGAAACUGGGGCUAAUACCGGAUAGGAGCUCCUGCUGCACGGGGGGGGUUGGAAAGUUUCGGCGGUUGGGGAUGGACUCGCGGCUUAUCAGCUUGUUUGUGUGGUAGUGGCGUACCAAGGCUUUGACGGGUAGCCUGCCUGAGAGGGUGACCGGCCACAUGGGGACUGAGAUACGGCCCAGACUCCUACGGGACGCAGCAGUGGGGAAUAUUGCACAAUGGGCGGAAGCCUGAUGCAGCAACGCCGCGUGCGGGAUGACGGCCUUCGGGUUGUAAACCGCUUUCGCCUGUGACGAAGCGUGAGUGACGGUAAUGGGUAAAGAAGCAACGGCUAACUACGUG
rnacentral:rRNA from 1 species